rnacentral:rRNA from 1 species
UACGUAGGGUGCGAGCGUUGUCCGGAAUUAUUGGGCGUAAAGAGCUCGUAGGCGGUGUGUCACGUCGGCCGUGAAAACCUGCAGCUUAACUGUGGGCGUGCGGUCGAUACGGGCAUCACUGGAGUUCGGCAGGGGAGACUGGAAUUCCUGGUGUAGCGGUGAAAUGCGUAGAUAUCGGGAGGAACACCAGUGGCGAAGGCGGUUGCCUGGAGCUUUGCUGACGCUGAUGCGCGAAAGCGUGGGGAGCGAUCCGG